UUGGACCAACUCAUGCAUACAAUGCUCAAUCUCCAUUGUUCUACCCUUUUCCCAAACAUACAGGUUACACAAUCACUUCCCAAUGUCAAACCCAACUCCCAUCUCUCUCCAAAAGAUCCCAAGAAUACUUUGCACACAUAACUCUUCUUGUUUGAAAUUUAUAAAUGAUUUUCUCAACUUCUAAACAAAUCUUAGCUCUAAACAACUUUGCUAGCCCCCUUUUCUUUCUUUUUCUCUUUUUUUUUUUUUUUUAUAUAUAUAUAUUUUUUUCAGGGGCCAAGACUUUUCAUAAACUCGAGCUAGACGUGUAUCUAUUAAUUCCAAUAAGAUUAUCCAUUUAAACACAAAGAGUCUAU
rnacentral:lncRNA from 1 species